GACGAACGCUGGCGGCGUGCUUAACACAUGCAAGUCGAACGGAAAGGCCCUGCUUUUGUGGGGUGCUCGAGUGGCGAACGGGUGAGUAACACGUGAGUAACCUGCCCUUGACUUUGGGAUAACUUCAGGAAACUGGGGCUAAUACCGGAUAGGAGCUCCUGCUGCAUGGUGGGGGUUGGAAAGUUUCGGCGGUUGGGGAUGGACUCGCGGCUUAUCAGCUUGUUGGUGGGGUAGUGGCUUACCAAGGCUUUGACGGGUAGCCGGCCUGAGAGGUUGACCGGCGACAUUGGGACUGAGAUACGGCCCAGACUCCUACGGGAGGCAGCAGGGGGGAGUAUUGCACAAUGGGCGGAAGCCUGAUGCAGCAACGCCGCGUGCGUGAUGACGGCCUUCGGGUUGUAAACCGCUUUCGCCUGUGACGAAGCUUGAGUGACGGUAAUGGGUAAAGAAGCACCGGCUAACUACGUG
rnacentral:rRNA from 1 species